rnacentral:rRNA from 1 species
GCUUCCUACGGGAGGCAGCAGUGGGGAAUUUUGGACAAUGGGGGCAACCCUGAUCCAGCAAUGCCGCGUGAGUGAAGAAGGCCUUCGGGUUGUAAAGCUCUUUUGUCAGGGAAGAAAAGGCUGCGGAUAAUACCUGCGGCCGAUGACGGUACCUGAAGAAUAAGCACCGGCUAACUACGUGCCAGCAGCCGCGGUAAUACGUAGGGUGCAAGCGUUAAUCGGAAUUACUGGGCGUAAAGCGUGCGCAGGCGGUUUUGUAAGUCUGACGUGAAAUCCCCGGGCUCAACCUGGGAAUUGCGUUGGAGACUGCAAGGCUGGAGUCUGGCAGAGGGGGGUAGAAUUCCACGUGUAGCAGUGAAAUGCGUAGAGAUGUGGAGGAACACCGAUGGCGAAGGCAGCCCCCUGGGUCAAGACUGACGCUCAUGCACGAAAGCGUGGGGAGCAAACAGGAUUAGAUACCCUGGUAGUCCACGCCCUAAACGAUGUCUACUAGUUGUCGGGUCUUAAUUGACUUGGUAACGCAGCUAACGCGUGAAGUAGACCGCCUGGGGAGUACGGUCGCAAGAUUAAAACUCAAAGGAAUUGACGGAA